rnacentral:lncRNA from 1 species
UUUGGUAAAAAUCAUCAAGCAGGGUAAAUGACUCCUAAAAGUAGUGAGUUGACAAUUUCUACCAACUAAUUGCGCUCAACAUAUUUGAUAUUUACAAUUUUUAUGCCCCACCUACAAAAGUAGAGGGGCAUCAUGUGUUCUGGUCUGUGGGUCUGUUCAUCCGCUCUUCUGUCUGUCCCACUUCAGGUUUAAGUUUUUGGUCAAGGUAGUUUUUCAUGAAGUUGAAGUCCAAUCAACUUGAAACUUAGUACACAUGUUCCCUAUGAUAUGAUAUGAUCUUUCCAAUUUUAAUGCCAAAUUAGAAUUUUGACCCACUGAACAUAGAAAACAAUGCGAGUGGGUCAUUAGUGUACUAUGUUCUCUAUGUAAUAGCAUCAUAAAAGGUAAAAAGAGGUAAACAAAUUGUCUUUCAAAAUUUCAUAAUAAGUUAGAAAAACUUCAAGUGAUAAUUUCAUCUAUGUUGAUUUAGAUGUAGAUCUUAUUGUUCUGGCC